rnacentral:rRNA from 1 species
AGAGUUUGAUCCUGGCUCAGAACGUACGCUGGCGGCACGCCUAACACAUGCAAGUCGAACGAAGUAGCAAUACUUAGUGGCAGACGGGUGAGUAACAUGUAGGUAUCUGCCCUUUGGCCUGGAAUAACACGAGGAAACUUGUGCUAAUACCGGAUAAGUCUUUACAGAGAAAGCUUUAUGCACCAUUGGAUGAGCCUGCACUUGAUUAGUUUGUUGGUGGGGUAAUGGCCUACCAAGACUGUGAUCAAUAGCUGAUUUGAGAGGAUGAUCAGCCACAUUGGGACUGAGACACGGCCCAAACUCCUACGGGAGGCAGCAGUGGGGAAUCUUGCACAAUGGAGGAAACUCUGAUGCAGCGAUGCCGCGUGAGUGAAGAAGGCCUUUGGGUUGUAAAGCUCUUUCGUCGGGGAAGAAAAUGACUGUACCCGAAUAAGAAGGUCCGGCUAACUUCGUGCCAGCAGCCGCGGUAAUACGAAGGGACCUAGCGUAGUUCGGAAUUACUGGGCUUAAAGAGUUCGUAGGUGGUUGAAAAAGUUAGUGGUGAAAUCCCAGAGCUUAACUCUGGAACUGCCAUUAAAACUUUUCAGCUAGAGUAUGAUAGAGGAAAGCAGAAUUUCUAGUGUAGAGGUGAAAUUCGUAGAUAUUAGAAAGAAUACCGAUUGCGAAGGCAGCUUUCUGGAUCAUUACUGACACUGAGGAACGAAAGCAUGGGUAGCGAAGAGGAUUAGAUACCCUCGUAGUCCAUGCCGUAAACGAUGUGUGUUAGACGUUGGAAAUUUAUUUUCAGUGUCGCAGGGAAACCGAUAAACACACCGCCUGGGGAGUACGACCGCAAGGUUAAAACUCAAAUGAAUUGACGGGGACCCGCACAAGUAGUGGAGCAUGUGGUUUAAUUCGAAGAUACGCGCAGAACCUUACCAACACUUGACAUGUUCGUCGCGACUCUAAGAGAUUAGAGUUUUCGGUUCGGCCGGACGAAACACAGGUGCUGCAUGGCUGUCGUCAGCUCGUGUCGUGAGAUGUUGGGUUAAGUCCCGCAACGAGCGCAACCCUCACUUUUAGUUGCCAUCAUUAAGUUGGGCACUCUGAAAGAACUGCCAGUGAUAAGCUGGAGGAAGGUGGGGAUGACGUCAAGUCCUCAUGGCCCUUACGUGUUGGGCUACACACGUGCUACAAUGGUAUCUACAACAGGAAGCAAGACUGCGAAGUUAAGCAAAUCCCUAAAAGAUACCUCAGUUCGGAUUGCACUCUGCAACUCGAGUGCAUGAAGCUGGAAUUACUAGUAAUCGUGGAUCAGCGUGCCACGGUGAAUGCGUUCCCGGGUCUUGUACACACCGCCCGUCACACCAUGGGAGUUGGUUCUACCUUAAGGCAAGGUUUCAAACCCUUGACCACGGUAUAGUCAGCGACUGGGGUGAAGUCGUAACAAGGUAACC